rnacentral:lncRNA from 1 species
CAGAACAGCCUAGCACCUGGCACCUUGUUGAAAUGGAGACCAUGCCUUAAUUAAAGGUGCAGUCAUUACUCAGCUCAGACAAAUGCUGUGAGGAGGGAUUCAGGUCUUGGCUGGCCAAUUGUGUCACAAAGGGAUGUUAGAUCUAGAUUUUUGUGAAACCUCCAAAUGUUGGAGGGAUCAGUUACUAAUUAAAAAUUUUUAAAAAUAUCCUGUGCAUCACAUCAAAGCUAUCUCUGUGUCAGUAAGUCCUGGAAGCUGCAGGUUUAUAAAAGUGAGGAGAGUCCGCUUACCCUACCCUAUCCGUUGCCUUCUUGAAAACUGGGUCUACCCUGAGUCAGUGGCCUCCCGCCCAGCAGGAAUGCUUCCCUAUAAUGUAUUAGCAUAUGAAAACUCGUAGUUAGACAAGCAGUUUGUACAUUCCCAGAUCUAAGCCAAACACACUGCCUUUUGUUUCACUAGUGAUUGGAGUCUUGACCCAUUUAGGCCUGACAGCAAAAUAGCGAUUAGCAGGGGGUGUUGUUAGUGGUGUUUUGAUUGGGAAGGAAUGAAAGAAGUUGGAGGGAGAAGGACAAGGAGGUAGGACAAUAAAGAAAAACUUCCUGGAGGACAAAAGUUCACCAGUUUUCCCUUGAAAUUAAUUUAAGGGCAGUAGAAUGAUACCAACAAAAAUCUCAGUGAAUUGUUAAGUGUUUUUAAGAAUACAGCUCUUGUUAUUGUUUUUGGCUUUUGCUGAGUAUAUUUUGUUUAGGGUGCUUAAGGAAUUCACCUUUAACUGUGGAGAAAAGAAUUGCAUAUUAUUCCUUGUUAACUUCUUGUGUACUUUCUUCAGGAUGUGAAUGAGGCAGAAGACAGAGCCACUGAGCUCACACAGACACGCCCAGUGCCAAGGACCAGAGGGCCUUUGUGGCCUAUGGGUAGGGGACCUAAUUGGUGGGAACAGGUGCAAAGCCAGAGCAUGUGCAGCCAUGGAGACUGAAGAGCAGCACCAAGCUAAGGACAGCUUUACAAAGAGUGUCAGAAGUGUCACUCCUCACAGGAAAGUUGAAUAAAUAAGGAUAACAAAGACUCAGAAAAAUGGACGAAAUGGUGACAGAAGACAGACCGGACUUGUGCCUCCUGUCUUCACUGUUCCUCAGUACAACCCAGGAUCACCCUGGGGGGACUAGCUUGCUAUUUAUGGCCGUUAAACAUUCGAGUACCCUGAAGGGACAUUGGCUGAGCAGUCUACACAGCUUAAAAAGCACUUAGAGGAAUGCAGAUCCAUUAGACCAGUCAUAAUGGACCCACUCAGGGCCCUGCUUUGUAAAUACACGGCUAAUGUCAUUCUGAUGUGUUUACAGGCCAGGACACGCUUCACACAGGUCAGGACCCUGGGGUGAAUCUGCGGGCUCUCAGGAGCCAGGUCCCUUACCUCGCACACCCGAGGGCACCAUCCCUUAUUAUUUGAACAUAAAAAAUUUUAAAAACUGGCAGCAAACAAAUUACUCUUUCAAAAGACUGUGGAAUGACCUUGAAGGUACAUGUGUCAGACCAGCACAAGGCAAUUGCCCAGAGGUGAAGAAAAGCCAUUAGCAUACUUUGUAGCUGGUUAAUUAAAGACUAUUUUUGUCAUCUUCCAUUCUGCGGAAGCCACGAGACCUACAAACUUCUGCAAGAGAAAUUCCUGAAAUAAUAGGGUAGAAAGGGCUAAACAAUCAUUGGCUUUCUCUCCUUCAAAUAAGAGUUAAGCUUUCGUCCUUCUCACAUUCUCCAGAUUUUGCUUGGUGCAGUGUAAACCAAGAUUUCAGGACUUUUCUUUGAAGCUUCCUGGAGUCUAAGUUACCUGGAGAUGAUCCUACAGGAGGAUCCUACUGUUGUGGUUUAUCUGAUGCCUUUUUCCGUUUUGCAAGGUCACUGGCAUUACUGAUGAUAGAAUGUAAGAGGUCUUAAUACUGUGUGUUCAAAGCUCAGGGAGAUAUUUCUUAGACUUUCUCUCUUUAAAUUCUUCUUUUUAAAUAUUAUGCAUUAAAAGCUCAUGGAAAUAUUUCUUAGAAUCUUUCCCUUUAAAUUCUGAAGACAAAUUACUUUGUUUUUUGAAAUAUACCAGUAUCUCCUAACUCGGACAAUUCUGAAUUAAUAUCUAGUAUUUUAAAGCUAGCAGGCUUCUGAAAAGCCAUUUUAUGGAUCAGUACAUUUUUGGCACUCAUUUGCAAGGUCAAAAUAAUUUAAUUACAAUAAAAAUACAUAGAAUGCAAAAUUCCACGGCAGAGGAAAAAUAAGCUCAAACCAAUGAUGGCUAUGUUUACAGAGCACCUCUGAUUUUAGGAAGCCUGGAUAAAUCUUUUCCAUUAAAACACUGCAUCUUCUUAGCAAUUAGAGGGGUGGUACAUUGUCCUUACUCUUUGCCUCUCUUCCCAUUGACAGAAAAUAGGCUUAUGCACUUCAAAAUAAAUAAUUAAUUUUCAGGUCAAGUUAAACUAGUUUACAUAUCAGAUAUUUACACUGAGUUUCUACGUAGUAGAUAUUUUAAAAUCUAUCUAAUUGUAGAAUUGACCAGUGGAAAUGACUUAUGACUUUUAUAUCUAAGACUCUAGGAAUGGAGCAGCCCUGCCAAUGAAACUGUGGGGAUUUCCCACUGGUGCAUAUCAGAGGAGUUGGCAGCCAAGAAAAGAACGAAGGUUUCUUGAUUCCUAAUCCCCUGAGCCCCUUGACCUUAUGAUCCCACGUUAGUCACAGGUCCUGGUCCAUGGAUCAUGGAAUGAUUUUCCAACAGGAUUAUGGCAAUCUUUCCCACUUCAGAAGAAACUGGCAUAUAUGAUGUUCAUGAGGACCAUAAGACCAGUAUAAAAUACAUCUGCACACUUCUGGGUCUUUAUGCCUCUUACUCUCUCUGAUUCUUCUUCUUCUUUUUUUUAUUUUUUUACAAUAUAAUAUGAUUUUAUUAAAUACUUUGAAUUUAGAAACACUCAACUCUAGCUUCCUAGAAUCAGUAAAAUACUGACCUCAUUUUAAGGAUAGAUUAUAUUACAACAUUACACAUACUGUAUGACCCAUACUGUAUGACCCAACCAUGUAUGACUCCUAGGUAUAUAGACAAUACAUUUUAUGUUAUGUUUAUCAAACCAUAUACUUAAACAUUUACAGCAACACUAUUCAUAAUAGCCCCAAACCAAAAAAUACCUAAAUUCCUACUAAUGAUUGAAUGAAUAAGUAGUGGUGUGCUCAUACAAGGAAGAUUAUCUGGCAAUGAAAAGAAUCUCAAUCUACAAACAACAAUAUGGAUGUAUCUCAUAAGCACAAUGUUGAACAAAGGGAGCCAAACACAAAAAUCAUAUGUAAUUCAUGAUUCCAGUUAUAUAAAGCAUAAAAACAGGCAAACUUAGUCAGAAGGGUGAGUAACUUCAAUAGGAAGUAGUGACUAAAAGGGGACUGACAGGAACUUUAGGGGCUCUAUCUGAUUCUUAAACAUCCUUUGAGGACCAGCUCUGAUGGCAUUUCUUCUCUGUUAGCCAACAGGCUAGGCAGAUUUGACCUUCCCUUUCUCUUUUUCUUCUUUUUGUUACAUCUUAAACAAUCUCUAUUGCAGCCCUAAAAAAUCAGAAUCACAUGUGUUCCCUGAUUUAUCCUCAGCAUCUUCCCCAGAGCUAGGCAAUAGAAAAAGGUCUUCGAAUGGUGGACAGAGACCCCAGAAUCUCAGCUUUCUGCUUUCCCCUUCACUUCCCUGCCUGCCCUUCUUUCCACCUCUUCCCCUUCAUGGCACUCCACCUCCAUGCUUGAGUCCCCAGGUUCCCCAUGUUGGCACCGUGAUACUCUCUGAGAGGCAGUCCAGGGGAUUGGGUUUCCUGCUCAGAGCACACUAUCAAUGCUAACUAAAUCACGUGACUCUGUAUGCGAUUCAUCGUCCUAGCUGCAGGUCAGUGUCCAGGGUGCAGCAAGGAUCCUUAUGCAUAAAAGUCAUUAAUCCGGAUGUUCAUGUUUGAUGGAUCUGGGAGUUAGCAGUGACUAAGAAGCUGGGUUUGUGCAUUUUGGAAAAGCCCUCUGCUUGUAAUGAUUAACAGAUCAUGUUUAUUUUCUUCCUCAGUCUCUGAUUGAGACUCCCCAAUUUUCACAGCAUAAGGGUUAUGUCUAGUUGGCUACAUUUCAUGUAAUUUACAAUUUACUUCUAAAUCUAGACCUGUUUCCUAUGUCAAUAUAAUGGGACACCUGGACUGGGCCAAUCCACCAGCAUGGUUCUUCUCUAUCUUGGAGCACAGGCCUUGUCAGCAUAGAAUGCUGUAGACAAUUCAUUGGGCUGGUUCUUUUGAACCCAUUGCCCCUUUGGGCAGCUAAUGGUUGGAUAAUGUUGACAAGCCUGUAAUGUUUAAACCAAGAGAUUUUUAAAAAAUAUUUAUUGCUUGUCUUGAAAUGUUCUAUAUAUUUGUUAAUAUGCCAGUUGGUGUUAAAUUAAUUUCUAUUUAACACUGAAUCAUGUUGUUGUUUUCCAAAUACAGUUCAGUCCUUAUGGUUUUACAUCUGGCUCAUGUUCCCUCUGCUUAGAUGCACCUUCUUUAUUGCUUUCUCCUCCCCAAUGAAUACCUCUCCUUGGCCACAGCUUUUCCCUGGCAUGGUAAACUUCUCUGCAUCUUUGACACUCAAAUGUCACCUCCUGGGAUUGCGAUAACUAGAAUGAGUUCCUACUCCAUGCUUGUAGCAAGGCUUUUAUCACACUGCAUGUAGCUAGUAGCUCAAUCUCCUCCUGUGUGCAAGCUUCUGGAGGGGACCCUCAUAUAUGAUUCCCUUCUCCCCAAAUUACAACCCAGGGACUGAUGAACAGUAACAUUUCUUAAGAACUUCGUAUGUGCCUCUUUGGUGAGGAGUUUGUCUGCCUCAUGUUAUUCAAUCCUCCCUGCUAGGCUGAAAGCUAGGGACUAUUGUUACCCUCUUGUCUCUG